UACGAAGGGGGCUAGCGUUGCUCGGAAUCACUGGGCGUAAAGCGCACGUAGGCGGACUCUUAAGUCGGUGGUGAAAUCCUGGAGCUCAACUCCAGAACUGCCUUCGAUACUGAGAGUCUCGAGUCCGGGGAGAGGUGAGUGGAACUGCGAGUGUAGAGGUGAAAUUCGUAGAUAUUCGCAAAGAACACCAGUGGCGAAGGCGGCUCACUGGCCCGGUACUGACGCUGAGGUGCGAAAGCGUGGGGGAGCAAACAGG
rnacentral:rRNA from 1 species